AACGAACGCUGGCGGCAUGCCUAACACAUGCAAGUCGAACGAGACCUUUGGGUCUAGUGGCGCACGGGUGCGUAACGCGUGGGAACCUGCCCUUAGGUUCGGAAUAACUCCCCGAAAGGGGUGCUAAUACCGGAUAAUGUCUUCGGACCAAAGAUUUAUCGCCUUUGGAUGGGCCCGCGUUGGAUUAGCUAGUUGGUAGGGUAAAAGCCUACCAAGGCGACGAUCCAUAGCUGGUCUGAGAGGAUGAUCAGCCACACUGGGACUGAGACACGGCCCAGACUACUACGGGAGGCAGCAGUGGGGAAUAUUGGACAAUGGGCGAAAGCCUGAUCCAGCAAUGCCGCGUGAGUGAUGAAGGCCUUAGGGUUGUAAAGCUCUUUUACCCGGGAUGAUAAUGACAGUACCGGGAGAAUAAGCUCCGGCUAACUCCGUG
rnacentral:rRNA from 1 species